UAUUUAUGAAACAUGGUCAUCAAUUUUCACUAAGUUUUCAAUCAAAUUUAUGCAAUGACGGACUGUCAUCACAACCACAAUUUUUUGCUCCUUUUACACUCAAAUUUUCAUUUAAGUCCACAAUUUUCACACUUAGCUAUUUUUUUUUCUCAUUCUUUGUUCUUUCUUUUUCAUUUUGUCUUAUUUUUCACUUAUUUUGAUUCGAUUCUUCAACUAAAUUUAUGCAAUGACGAAAUGUCAUCACAACCCCAAACUUGAAUUGUUGCUUGUCCUC
rnacentral:lncRNA from 1 species